UUAGUGAUGUUGAUAUGACUCCUGCAAUGGGCUGCAUGCUUAUAUCGUUGAUUAUUCUUCUUAUUCUUCCAAGUAUUUGCCUAUACUGUGAUAUGUGGAGAUUUGGAUGGGUCCAUAAAUUGAUGGUGUGGUCUGCAAAACUAUGGAUAGUUACGAUAAAAAUCUCAUAUGUUAUUUUACAUGAUUAUCCUUAUACAUGUUUAUGAAGCCUUAACUAUAUACAUGUUUAUAAUUAGCUUACCAUGCUGGCUAUAUAUAUCUCGUAAAUAGAAAAGGAGAUUUAGCUUACCAUUUAUAGCUUCCUAAGAUCACUCCAGUACACGAUUGAAAACUCAGUAAUUACCUGUGCUAUGUAUCUCUACGUGUUUUGUUAAUUGAUUGUUGACAUUUUCAUUAGCUUGUUCUGUAAAUUUGGGUUGAAAGUUUUUGGUGCGACUCUUUAUUGAUUGCUUUUGGAAUCCAUGGAUGGAUAGUUGUGAGAAAAAGUUUCAAUUUGAUAAUUGGGGUCGAUUAGUCCCACGUGUAAAAUCAAGCAAGGCUAUAAAGUACCUACAUAUAGCCUUUUUCCUUGAUGUGAUAAUUGUAACUUAAAUUAUUUGAUCGACAUGUUCUUGGAUACUCGUGGAGCAUUAUUUAUGCUUGAAGGCUUGUCCAUAAAUGUAGAUGCUUUUUAAAAAUUUACAUGAGCUAAAUUGUUAGUGAUGUUGAUAUGACUCCUGCAAUGGGCUACAUGCUUAUAUCGUUGAUUAUUCUUCUUUCAUAGCUGUAUAUCCCUUGAUUAUCUCUCUCAGAUUUUCAUUAUUGUUUAGGCAUAGGAUUAAGGGAUCUGAUUAUGUUUAUUAGACCCUAAAAUUAAGGGAUUUGAUCAUUCUUGUGUGUGUGUGUGUAGGUGGGUGUAACUCUCUUAGUGAAAGAAACAGAAAGCAUUUUAGAAAUUCUCUUGUAUUAUCUUGUCAUCAACACGCUUCUUGAAUACUCUAAGGGUGUAGCUUAGAAUAGGCUAAAAUGUAAGGUAUCUCCUCAACUAAGUUUCUACAUAUUAUUACAUAAGCUAUGAUUUCAGCUGAAAAUUUCCCUCACAUUAAACUAAUUCAUACAGUUGAGAUGGCAGAUAAUAAUAAAACAUGGUCUAGAGAACACAAUUAUUUAAGAAUUAUUUGGGUAUUUUAUUUCCUACUUUGGUAUGACCUAGUGUAGGAUUUGGGGACCUGAAUAGGCACCCAUUUUUUCGAGUCGUAAUGCUAGAUGCUUGUCGAGUGAAAUUUGAUUUUUUGCAUGUUUCCUUACUCUUGUGGAUAUGUCGACUUCUACUUUCCUUGUAGAUUCAAGAAAGCUUCUUGUGGAUUUCUAGGUUUCUUUUCUUCACUAAUUGUUGGGUGAUUUUUUGUUUUUGUUUUCCUUAAAUCCUUUGGUAAGCUUGCGUUGCAGUCUUUUGUUUUGAUAUGCGUGAUUUUAAUCAGCAUUUCAAUUGUCUGUUGUUUCAUCUGUUCAGAAUGUCGGCACAAUUAUUUUUAUCAAUAAUGAUGCACAUCGUUCACGUGUUUGCUCUAUAUGCCUAUUUUUUGUGUUAACACAUGCUCCUGCCCGUUAUAUUUUCCUAGAUCUUUUUCGUGCUCUCCUAGGAUGCCAAUAAGGCUGUUAUAUGUUUUGCUGGCAAUGAUAGUUUGUUUUUAAACCUUGGAUGUGUCUUUAUACUGUGAUUGUGGGAUGCUCUUAUUAGCAUUUCUUUAAUGGGUGCUGGUAAGGAUUAUGAGCGUUAUUUUUAUCAAUAGAUGCACAUAAUUCACAUAAUUUGCCCUUUAUGCCCAUGUUUUGUGUUAACACAUGCUGCUGCCUAUAAUUUUUUUCUAGAUCAUUUUCCUGCUUUCCUAGGCUGCCAAUAAGGCUCUUACGUGUUCUAUUGGCAAUGAUAGUUUGUUUUUAAAUUUUGAUGUCUCUUCAUAGUGUGACUGUGCGAUGCUCUUAUUAGCGUUUCUGUAAUGGAUGCUGGUAAGCAUUAUGAGCAUUAUUCAAUUAGGAAAAAAUUGUUGCUGCUGCAAGUUGACUACACCUAUUGGAGAAAUCAGUUGAGAAUAUGAUUGAUUUGGCGACUGCCUUUAUUUUUAACAAAACUAGUUUCCAUUCUAUUCAUGCAAUGACUGUUUUUCUACUUUAUUAUGCAUGGUGGAUUGAAUGGGUUCCCUUAUAGAUGCCUUAUCUGAUGAAUUCAUUUCCAUUGGAGAUGCCUUUGUGAUGGAUGGUUUCUGCACAAUUGUGUUGGUUCAUUUACAUUUUCAUUGUGUCACUUUCUACAUGCAACCAUUGAUUUAUUUAAUUUUUAUCUUGAGAGAAUAUAUGACCUGAGUGCAUUUGAGUAGUUAAGGCCAAAUGAUGAGUUUGGGAUCUUUUGGUGAGUACACCUGCGCAACAUUCAUACCAUUCCAACAUUGUUUACCUUUAGGAACCCCAUUAAGCUCUUUUGCUUCUAUUCCUCAUGGCUCAUUUUGUUACAUCACUUUUAGUCACUAAUGUACUUGGAUAGCAACCAUGAUUAUUGAUUUGAAUGCUUUUGUGCUCUGGCCUUUUCAAUUGUUAAGUCAUCUUAAUAGAGAGGUUCUCCGUAUGGUUGCACAUUUUGCCCAAACACUGUUGAUUUUUCUUUUCCCAUUUUUACUACGUUCUUUGUCUGCUCGGCUUUUUGGAUUAGUUCAAGUAAUCCUCACUUGGCUUCUUGCAUCAUUCCUAUAACAACCCGUGACAUCACGCAAGUAAUUUACCUAUUAUAUUCUAUUAUGUAAAAUAUUCGCUCUUAUACUGUGUUCGCAAUCUGCUAGACGAUAUGGCAUAAUCACUAGCAAUCUCUUGACCUUCUGCCAUAGACACUUUAUCGUUUGAAUGAUGUACUUCAUAUCAGUAUGUCUUUCAAGCAACUUAUUUCAGAUGGAUUCUAGAGACUAAUUUCACAACUAAUCUGAAAUGACAAAAACAAAAGUUGGAAGCCAUAAUAUCCUUUGCAAGGUUUGAAAUGUUAUAUGGUGAAGCUAUAUUGAAGAGGCAAGAACUAAAUGAUGCUAACUCAUUAGCUGAAGUCAUAACUGGAGAACUCUAAAGUGAGCUUGUCUUAUGUUAUACUUAUUGUUUUUAACGUGAGAUAAUGAUUUAUGUGUCUUUACUUCAUCGAGAUUAUGUUUUUUUUUUACUUCAAUGCAAUCAUAGAACUUAUAUUUGUUUUAGAUCAGCAAAACAAUGAAUCGAUGGAUCAUACUUUCAAAGGAGUUGUUGAGCACUUCAGCGAAGUAUUCUUUGAACUUGUGCAAGGUGGUCAUGGUCAUUUAGUUAUGAUGAAGAAAAAGGUUACUUAAAGGAGCAUUUAAUGUCUUUGUUUCAUUUGUUCUUUUCUUUACUCCUAUCGUUCAUUUUUCCCUUGCUAGUAAGCAAUGCCUUGAAGUUCUUCCAAUGUCUUUUUAUUGCUUUCCAAGUUUAAUCAGUAUAUUUUUUGGUCUUUUAUGUUGAAAUUUUGAGAUAACCAUAUGAGUGCAUUUUAAAGUUUCAUGUCAUACAUUUGUGGUCAAUCUAGAUAGCCAUUGAAACAGUUGUAUAAAUUUUACGGUAUCUUAACAAGAUGUUUAUAACGAAGAUGAUAAUUGUGACGAUGAUGGACGUCAUGAAGCAAAUCUAGAGGGAAAUAUGUUACUGUGAAAAUGAAGGUAUGAAGCAAAUCUAGAGGGAAAUGUGUUUAUUUUUUUGCAGAAAGGAAGAGAUAGAAAUAAGAAAGGAUAUUAUAUAACAUGAUGCCUUAAUUGCUCUCUUACCAACUCAAUCACAACUUAUUGAUCAAUUUUUUUGGAUAUCAUCAACCAUUUGUAACCAGAAAGGAAAUGGACAUCAUUUAACAAGGAAAAAAAUAUAUAAGAAAUUUUAUUGUAAUGCAAAAUUUUCUUUGUUUAACUUCUAGGUUGCUAAACUCUGCUAGUUGCUUUUGACUAUAGUUGGUUGAUGGUUGUGAGAGAGGUUCAGUAACAGGCUCAUGCUUUUUUGGUAAAAUAAAAUAUGGUUUUAGUUAUACCAUUGCUUUAUGGAUUUUGGUUAUCCACUAUGGCUAAUAAUCUUUUAUUUUAUCUGUAGUUUAAGAGCAUUUUUGGAUUUUUUUUUGUUGCUCAACUUUGUGGUUUCGUUUAAUCCAUUGUUUUUUUUUCCUGGUGGUGUUCUACUUUCAGGAAUAUCAUGUAUCGGGUAUUCCAUUGGUAAUAUUGUUUUUGUUUGUUUGCCAUGUUCCAAGUUUGAGGGUUCACUUGGAUUGGGGUAAUGGCAGUUGGGUUUGUUCGAAGAAGAGGGUUUGCUAAUUAUAUAAGUGUUCUUUUCUCGACAAUGAAACAUUAUCAUUAAUAUCUUAUGUUUUGUAGGUUAACUUGUUAAAUUGCUGCAUUCAUUAGCGAAAAGAGGGAGGGGCAUGGCUAUUAUGUGCUUGAAAAACGUAUUUUACGGGAUUGGUAAGAGAGUGUUGUUUGGUCUAUAUGGAUUUUCUUAUCCAAAACUUGGAUAGCGCAACCUCAUACACCCAGCCCAUUUCAGUUCGAAAGUUAAUUAUGUUGAUAAGUUUGUUUUUCAUUGUGAUUUAUUAUUUAUAUUUAAUCUUAUUCAUUUGUUUUUUUGUCUACUAUGUAAUAUAUUGAUAUCAAAAUUAUGUUAUGGGCUUACAGUUUGUUUCUUUAGUAGCCAUUCGUUUUGUAUUGAGUGAUCUCUUCCAUAACCUAUGCAAUGAUGAUGGGCAUCAACUACUCGAUGAAGGUGCAGGGGAUCAAGUUUUAUUUGCUUUCAUUGAGAUUGUGUUGAUAAUUCCGACAAUCGCAUCUCGUGUCUUUCUUUCAUAAACGGUUUUGGCAACUUGCAGUAUAAUGGAGUGUGAAAAGCAGGUGAGCAUCCUUUAUCAAAAAACAAGGUCGGGCAACCCAUUUUCCAGCAAAGCUAUUCGUGACAAAAGGCUGUAAAUGGAAAAUGAUGAUUUACGUCUUUUUUCUUCAAAUUGGCUCAAGCAAGAGUUUAGAUUAGUCUAUUCUGAUACUUUAACAUCAAUGUAGAUGCAUGCUGGUGUUGUCAGAAUCUUUCUAUAGGUGGCACUUUCUUAUCUCAUGCUCAUCAUUUAAUUAGGAAAGGACCAGGCCCUCUUAUGAGAUAAUUCCAUGAUCAAAACACAAUGUUAAGGGUUUUUCUUUUUUGUUUUCUUUUUUGAAUUGUUUGGGUAUCUUUAGUAAACUGGACUUAACAAGAGUUAUAUCUAAAGAAAUGAUUAGCCUUUCUAGCAUAUUAUUUGUUCAAGUUCAUAGGAACUCUGAAUUGUGAAUUUGCUUUAUCAUGUUUUUAUGUGGUAAAUAACUAACUAUGAAUUUGCUCUAGUUUGAGUUUUAAUUUUUUUUUCUUGGCUUUUUAUGUAUUAUUGUCUUGUAAUCAUUAUUUUAAAUCUAUUUAUCUUGCCUGAUUUGCCAGCCAAUAUCUAUGUUGAAAUCCUAGCAGAUGAUGUUUUGGUCUUGCCUCUACAUGUACUUGGUACUUACUGAGAUAGGUCAUGUUUGCAUGCUUCCACUUAAGCUUUCAUCUUUUGAGAAGUGACAUGCUUUCUUUUAUUGGAACAUAUAGGUAUAAGUAGAGUGUGAAAGAGUUGCAUAAAAUGCUUCAUAGGUGCAAUGAGCAACUUCAGCCAUGUAAACAAGAAGGCAUUAGACCAACAUGUAAAUAUCACUGAGAAACUAGAGAAACUCCUGAAAAGUCAAGUUGAACUAUGAUCAGCGAGACAAUGAAUAUUGCACUGUCAAAGGAGUUGUUGAGCACUUUAGCGAAGUAUUCUUUGAACUCGUGCAAGGUGGUCGUGGUCAUUUGGCUAUGAUGAAGAAAAAGAUGUCAUGAAGCAAAUUUGGAGGGAAAUAUGUUACUGUGAAAAUGAAGGUAUGAAUAUGUCGUCGCUAUGUUAUAUGUGUUUAUUUUUUUGCAGAAACAAGGAGAUAGAAAUAAAAAAGGAUAUUAUGUAACAUGAUGCCUUAAUUGCACUCUUUCCAACUUAAUCACAACUUAUUGAUCAAUGUUUUUGGAUAUCAUCAACCAUUUGUAACCAAGAAGGAAAUGGACAUCAUUUAAUGUUUACUAUCAUAACCAUGAGAAGAGAUUGUAGUGACUUGUAAAUGACAUCAUGAAAAUAGUUAUGAAUAUUAUUUUUUGUUAUGCUUGAAUUGAAUUUGGUUUGGAGGCCAUUUAUCAUUGUUCCCAUGGAUCUUUAGGUGGCAAGUUUCGUUUUGGAACUCAUUGUUGCUUAUUGCAUUGAUAAAUUUUUGUAAUUGAUUGUAAGGAACUAAAUUUGUUGUCUAAACCCAUUAUAAUUUGGGUGCAAAGGCCACUAAAAGACCACAACUGGAAAUGUUUGUCAUACAUAUUGAACUGCUACUCUGCAACUUAAUGUUGAGAGUUGUACGCAUGUGGUCUCUAUAAAUUUGUCUAGAAUGACAUAUAUUCAUUACAUAGGAUAGUUGGCCCAAAGAGCACUUCUAAAAUGGUGAUUGCUCAUCUUUAGAGGUAUCAGUUCGGUGAUUUAGUUUUAAAUUGUUCAUGUUUGUAAAAUUCCUGUAAUUUGUUAGAUUUUAUUGUUGCUUUUGUUUUUGUCGUUGCAAUUUGUGGAAUGAUUUCCUCGAAGCACAACAUGUUUUGACAAUAAAUUUCUAAUCCUUCUUCUUUUCAACUCGAUUUAAUAGGAGUUCACAUCUUUACAUGCAAAAGUCACUACACUAGAGCAUGAUCUUCAUAAAUCUUGUCAAGAGGCCUCUAAUAAUCAUGAUCUCUGUUGCCAGUUAGAAAAGGAAUAUCAUGUAUCGGGUAUCAUAUUGGUAAUAUUGUUUUGAUUUGCUUACCAUGUUCCAAGUUUAGUGGUUCACUUAGAUUGGGGGUAAUGGCAAUUGGGUUUCUUCAAAGAAGAGGGUUUCCUGAUUAUCUUAUGUGUUCUUUUCUCGACAAGGAAACAUUAUCAUUAAUAUCUUAUGUUUUGUAGGUUAAUUUGUUGAAUUGUUGCAUUCAUUAGGGAAAAGAGGGAGGGGCUUGGCUAUUAUGUGCUUGAAAAGCGCAUUUUACGGGACUGGUAAGAGAGUGUGUUUGGCCUGUAAGGAUUUCCUUAUCCAAAACUUGGAUAGCGGAACCCCAUACACCUAGCCUAUUUCAGUUCGAAAGUUAAUUGUGUUUGUAAGUUAGUUUUUCAUUGUGAUUAUUUUUUUAUAUAUGUUAUCUUAUUUAUUUGUUGUGUGUCUACUAUAUAAUAUAUUGAGUGAUGAGUGUUUUAAAUUUAUGGACUGAAGGAUUAUUCCU